rnacentral:tRNA from 1 species
GUGUUGGUGGGUCAGUGGUAGGACUCCCGCCUUCCAUGCAGGAGGCGCAGGUUCAAUUCCCGGCCAACGCA